UGUUAACCAUGGCCAAGGUCAAUGCCUGGGGUUAUUGUAAGUCUGUUGGGUUCACAGUUUAUACCUUUGAGGCCCUACUCAUUCUUGGAAAGAGAACAUGAGGUGAAUUCUUCCAAAAUAAACAUUCAGGACAUAUGACAAACCUCAAGAGGGCAGAUUCCAGAUCCAGGUUGCCAGGGUUCAGAUCCUAGAUCUGCAGAAUGCGCUCUGUGAUCUCAUCUGAGUUACUUAGCCUCAGCUUCUUCUUCUGUAAAAUCAUGAAAAUGGCCCCCUUCUCUUCUUAUUACGCAGAAAGUGCCUGGUACAUAGUACACACUAAAUGUGGCAAUAGGCAAGUCCAUGCGCGAGCAGGCAGCGACAUCAGCCUCAUGACAACUUCUUGGCGGAUCACAAUGGGUAUCUGAAGAAGAUUACAACCCUCUGAGGCCAGCAGGAUGGUGGUAGCAGGAACCAGAGAGGGGUGCAGAGCAAAGGAGAAUCUGAAAAAUGAGGUCCCCCAGGAGACUCCAGGAGAUGCUGGGAUGUAUCAAGAACCACUAGUCUCACCCUUGAAACCACCUUUAUCUGUGAUGAUACCACAGAUGACAAGGGAAAUCCUGCUAGGAAUCUACUUCAUAUCUUUACCAGGUGUGCAGAGAAAGAUGAGAGCUUGGCCCAUGGGUGAAUGAUUGCUUUUCACCCACGGAGUUCAUUUUCAUAUUUGAAAUGCUGCAUGACCUGGUGGAUGGAGCCCUGAAUUGGAAAUCCAGGGUCCGUGGACUUUGGAAGAUCUUUGCUGCUCACACCGAGUAAAAAAGACAAAAACAGUAUAAAUAAAUGAGUUGCUGCUACUGCUGCUAAGGCGCUUCAGUCAUGUCUGACUCUGUGUGACCCCAUAGACGGCAGCCCACCAGGCCCUGCCGUCCCUGGGAUUCUCCAGAAAAGAACACUGGAGUGGGUUGCCAUUUCCUCCUUCAAUGCAUGAAAGUGAAAAGUGAAAAUGAAGUCGCUCAGUCGUGUCCAACUCUUAGCGACCUCAUGGACCGCAGCCUACCAGGAUCCUCCGUCCAUGGGAUUUUCCAGUUUUAUCCCCAGGGUGGUCCAGCAUUGGUGUCUUCCUGUCCCCCAUCACGCAUGUAGAAAAGAUAGCUAUGAAUACCAAGUGGCCACAUCUCAUCUUCCAAUACUAGGUAAGAGAGAACCAAGACUCCGGGGAGGUCAACUGACUCCAUGGGAUGGAGAAAAAUUAGGAUGGAGUUUGAGCUACAGUGAGUGCCAGA
ensembl:lncRNA